GAAUCUACGACGCCCGANCUANAUGUCAUCNAACAUUGGUGCCGUUGUAUUCAUAGGNACUCACACUCGAGCCGCUCGUCUGUGCACAUGCCUAACACAUGCAAGUCGAACGCGAAAGGGGAGCAAUCCCUGAGUAGAGUGGCAAACGGGUGAGUAACACGUGGGUGACCUGCCUUCGAGUGGGGGAUAACGUCCCGAAAGGGACGCUAAUACCGCAUAACAUCCUGCUUUUGGAAAAGUGGAGAUCAAAGCCGGGGAUCGCAAGACCUGGCGCUUGAAGAGGGGCCCGCGCCUGAUUAGCUAGUUGGUGGGGUAAUGGCUCACCAAGGCAACGAUCAGUAUCCGGCCUGAGAGGGCGGACGGACACACUGGGACUGAGACACGGCCCAGACUCCUACGGGAGGCAGCAGUGGGGAAUUGUUCGCAAUGGGCGCAAGCCUGACGACGCAACGCCGGUGGGAUU
rnacentral:rRNA from 1 species